AAAGGUCGAGCAUCCGAUAGAUUGCGUAGUAACGUCGUUCAUCUAAAAAAACACAAAACAAACAAAAAUAGGUAGUCGAACUACGUUUUGCUCUGAUUUUCAUCCCAGAUGAGAUACGUAGGUAUAAGACGCGAUGUCUUAGCGAGCACACUCCUCUUUAACCCAUAGGUAUCCGAGCUACGAAGGCUCUGAUUCUCAGAUUCAGAUGAG
rnacentral:lncRNA from 1 species